AACACAUGCAAGUCGAGCGAGGUACUUGUACCUAGCGGCAGACGGGUGCGUAACAUGUGGGAAUCUGCCUUUUGGUUCGGAACAACACGGGGAAACUUGUGCUAAUACCGGAUAAGUCCUCACGGAGAAAGAUUUAUCGCCGAAAGAUGAGCCCGCACUAGAUUAGCUUGUUGGUAAGGUAAAAGCUUACCAAGGCUACGAUCUAUAGCUGAUUUGAGAGGAUGAUCAGCCACACUGGGACUGAGACACGGCCCAGACUCCUACGGGAGGCAGCAGUGGGGAAUCUUGCACAAUGGAGGAAACUCUGAUGCAGCGAUGCCGCGUGAGUGAAGAAGGCCCUUGGGUUGUAAAGCUCUUUUGUCGGGAAAGAUAAUGACUGUACCCGAAGAAUAAGGUCCGGCUAACUUCGUGCCAGCAGCCGCGGUAAUACGAAGGGACCUAGCGUAAUUCGGAAUUACUGGGCGUAAAGCGCGCGUAGGCGGUUAAGUAAGUUAAUUGUGAAAGCCCAAAGCUCAACUUUGGAAUUGCAAUUAAAACUACUUAGCUAGAGUUUAUCAGAGGAAAGCGGAAUACAUAGUGUAGAGGUGAAAUUCGUAGAUAUUAUGUAGAACACCAGUUGCGAAGGCGGCUUUCUGGGAUAACACUGACGCUGAGGUGCGAAAGUAUGGGUAGCGAAGAGGAUUAGAUACCCUCGUAGUCCAUACCGUAAACGAUGAUUGUUAGAUGUUGGAAAUUUAUUUUCAGUAUCACAGCUAACGCGUUAAACAAUCCGCCUGGGGAGUACGACCGCAAGGUUAAAACUCAAAUGAAUUGACGGGGACCCGCACAAGCGGUGGAGCAUGGUGGUUUAAUUCGAAGCUACGCGCAGAACCUUACCAACACUGACAUGUCUGUCGCGAUCCAGAGAUGGAUUCUUCGGUUCGCGGAACGAAACACAGGUGCUGCAUGCUGUCGUCAGCUCGGUCCUGAGAAUGUUGAUAGGUUCCGCACGAGCGCACCCUACUUCAAGUUGCAUCAGUUAGCUGGUCACUCUAG
rnacentral:rRNA from 1 species